rnacentral:rRNA from 1 species
AUUGAACGCUGGCGGCAGGCCUAACACAUGCAAGUCGAGCGGCAGCGGGAAAGUAGCUUGCUACUUUUGCCGGCGAGCGGCGGACGGGUGAGUAAUGCCUGGGAAAUUGCCCAGUCGAGGGGGAUAACAGUUGGAAACGACUGCUAAUACCGCAUACGCCCUACGGGGGAAAGCAGGGGACCUUCGGGCCUUGCGCGAUUGGAUAUGCCAAGGUGAGAUUAGCUAGUUGGUGAGGUAAUGGCUCAUCAAGGCGACGAUCCCUAGCUGGUCUGGGAGGAUGUCCAGCCCCACUGGAACUGUGACACGGUACAGCCUCCUACGGGAGGCAGCAGUGGUGAAUAUUGCACAAUGGGGGAAUCCCAGAUGCAGCCAUGCCGCGUGUGUGUAGAAGGCCUUCGGGUUGUAAAGCACUUUCAGCGAAGAGGAAAGGUUGAUGCCUAAUACGUAUCAACUGUGACGUUACUCGCAGAAGAAGCACCGGCUAACUCCGUGCCAGCCGCCGCGGUAAUAC